rnacentral:rRNA from 1 species
GACGAACGCUGGCGGCGUGCUUAACACAUGCAAGUCGAACGGAAAGGCCCUGCUUUUGUGGGGUGCUCGAGUGGCGAACGGGUGAGUAACACGUGAGUAACCUGCCCUUGACUUUGGGAUAACUUCAGGAAACUGGGGCUAAUACCGGAUAGGAGCUCCUGCUGCAUGGUGGGGGUUGGAAAGUUUCGGCGGUUGGGGAUGGACGCGCGGCUUAUCAGCUUGUUGGUGGGGUAGUGGCUUACCAAGGAUUUGACGGGUAGCCGGCCUGAGAGGGUGACCGGCCACAUUGGGACUGAGAUACGGCCCAGACUCCUACGGGAGGCAGCAGUGGGGAAUAUUGCACAAUGGGCGGAAGCCUGAUGCAGCAACGCCGCGUGCGGGAUGACGGCCUUCGGGUUGUAAACCGCUUUCGCCUGUGACGAAGCGUGAGUGACGGUAAUGGGUAAAGAAGCACCGGCUAACUACGUG